rnacentral:rRNA from 1 species
AUGACGAGCGGCGGACGGGUGAGUAAUGCAUAGGAAUCUGCCCAGUAGUGGGGGAUAGCCCGGGGAAACCCGGAUUAAUACCGCAUACGCCCUUCGGGGGAAAGCAGGGGAUCUUCGGACCUUGCGCUAUUGGAUGAGCCUAUGUCGGAUUAGCUAGUUGGUGGGGUAAAGGCCUACCAAGGCGACGAUCCGUAGCUGGUCUGAGAGGAUGAUCAGCCACAUCGGGACUGAGACACGGCCCGAACUCCUACGGGAGGCAGCAGUGGGGAAUAUUGGACAAUGGGGGCAACCCUGAUCCAGCCAUGCCGCGUGUGUGAAGAAGGCUUUCGGGUUGUAAAGCACUUUCAGUGAGGAGGAAAACCUUCUGGUUAAUACCCAUGAGGCUUGACGUUACUCACAGAAGAAGCACCGGCUAACUCCGUGCCAGCAGCCGCGGUAAUACGGAGGGUGCAAGCGUUAAUCGGAAUUACUGGGCGUAAAGCGCGCGUAGGUGGUUUGAUAAGCGAGAUGUGAAAGCCCCGGGCUUAACCUGGGAACGGCAUUUCG